rnacentral:sRNA from 1 species
GGAUGUGAAGGCGAUCUGGCUGCGACAUCUGUCACCCCAUUGAUUGCCAGGGUUGAUUCGGCUGAUCUGGCUGGCUAGGCUGUGUCCCCUUCCUCCCUCACCGCUCCAUGUGCGUCCCUCCCGAAGCUGCGCGCUCGGUCGAGGAGGACGACCAUCCCCGAUAGAGGAGGACCGUUCUUCGGUCAAGGGUAUACAAGUAGCUGCGCUCCCCUGCUAGAACCUCCAAACAAGCUCUCAAGGAAAGUUAUUGUUGAUUCUGGGUUUUUUUGUUUUGU